UUUAUUUUUCCAAAACAUUUUACUGUUUUAUUAUUCUGAGCAUAUUAAUAAGAUAAUUUAAAAACUUUUCUCCUGGUUCUGUUCUUUUCUUUUUCCUUUUUUUUUUUUUUUUUAGUUUUGGUCAUUUUAAUUCAUGGUGCUGGUUUUUCCCACAUGCUGGAAGAUUCUUGGUUGUCUAUUCAUACUUAGGGCAGAAGGAUAGGGAAACUAUCCUUUGUAAAAAGGAAAUGCUGGAAGGAUAAGCCAGAAAUGAAUUGAAAUAAUAUUUUUUGGUAGAGACAGGGUC
rnacentral:lncRNA from 10 species